GGCGCCGUGGACGAACGGUUAAGUCACCCGUUUGGCAAAACGGGAGAUUCGGGUCCGAUUCCCGACGGCGCCU
rnacentral:tRNA from 1 species